rnacentral:lncRNA from 1 species
AUUUCUGCGGCGGGAUGAGCCCCAGGAUAACCUCCGCGAGCAAGCCACAUCGUCCUCCUUCUGGGCUUUCAGGCGCUUGGGGCUGCUGGGCCCUCCAGAACGCGACGCAGACCUCUGAGCUGGCCGGCUGGAGGGGGCCACAUCACAGGGCUCCCGGAGGCAGCUGCGCUUGCGGGGACACCCUUCCGACGUGCUGCUCCAGUUGUGCUUGACCUUGCCCCGCUCGGACGCCAUGGGCACCUGCAAGGUACAGGGGGCCUGGAUUCCAACACCACCCUUCCUGGCGACCCCACCUCAGAUUCCCGCCACCCCGGGCCCAGGAGGACGGCAAGACAUAAGGGCAGAGCCAGGGGCUAGCCUCACUGACCUUUCCCUCUUCUUUCCACUGCCCAUCACAGUUCUCAAGGUUUCAGAGAUGCCAAACCGUGUUGGAGAAGUCAAAGCGAUCCAAAAUUGACUAAAGGCUGCCGUCGGUUUCCAAGCCCACAACGUGCUUCUGAGAUCAGGAAGCCUUCACUUUGCCCAGCGCUACUUCGGAGAUGCCUAAGCGCUUCCGGGGCUACGAAGCGCUUUGAUCAGUUUGCAAUAUAAAGCCCUUUAGAACUGUCAAGCGCUUCAGAAGACCACAUGGCGCUUCAAGAUCCACACAUGGCUGCCGGAUCCGCGGCCCCGGGGCCGGGCGCUUAGCCCGUAGGCCAGGGCC